UCCAGACUCCUACGGGAGGCAGCAGUGGGGGAUAUUGCACAAUGGGGGGAACCCUGAUGCAGCGACGCCGCGUGGGUGAAGGAGCGUUUCGGCGCGUAAAGCCCUAUCGGCAGGGAAGAAGGAGGACGGUACCUGACUAAGAAGCCCCGGCUAACUACGUGCCAGCAGCCGCGGUAAUACGUAGGGGGCAAGCGUUAUCCGGAUUUACUGGGUGUAAAGGGGGCGCAGACGGCAGCGCAAGCCAGGAGUGAAAGCCCGGGGCCCAACCCCGGGACUGCUCUUGGAACUGCGCGGCUGGAGUGCAGGAGGGGCAGGCGGAAUUCCUGGUGUAGCGGUGAAAUGCGUAGAUAUCAGGAGGAACACCGGUGGCGAAGGCGGCCUGCUGGACUGCGACUGACGUUGAGGCCCGAAAGCGUGGGGAGCAAACAGGAUUAGAUACCCCUGUACG
rnacentral:rRNA from 1 species